rnacentral:lncRNA from 1 species
CUAGAUCCUUCUUCAGGAAGAACUCACUGGCCAGAGGCAGGGAGUGGGGUCAGCAGACACCAGGUCCAGUUCGCAGCCCUUCCAGGGUCAGCCUCAGCUGCAGUGAGCCACCCAGCCCAUGGCCACCCCUUUUUUUGGUUGCCCAUAUCCAGAAGCUGAACAGAUGGUUUUUCACUCUGUUGUCCAGGCUGGCACGACCUCGGCUCACUGCAACCUCCACCUCCAGGGUACAAGCGAUUCUCCUGCCUCAGCCUCUGGAGUAGCUGGGAUUACAGGAAUGAGGAGAGAUGGCCUUGGUGGUCCUCCUUAGGUUGGCAACAUCCAGAUGCAAUUGUUCACAUACCAGCUUCUCAUAGCGCUACCAAAAGUCUUCAACUCUUUAAUUGGGCCUCUCAUGCCAAGAACCAGGAAGAGGCACAAAAUUCCUCACUGAGAUACGGUGUGUUCUACUUCCAUGACUUCCACACACCAUUCUUAGAAAUAGGAGGUGAGCAUGAACAGAAGGAAAAGGAAAAAUAUCAUUCAUGUCUGACCUACAUUGUUUGCAAUAAGAGUAAAAUUAGUCUCAUCUGACAGUGAAAUUAUUGCAUGAUUCUUAAGAUUGUAAUAGUCUUUAUAAAUUUAUCUUGAUGAUUUAAAAUAACAAAAUUAAAUGUGCAUAAAAUAUUAUGUUAAUAUAGACCAACUCAUUUAUUUCUCAUGAAAUCUGAU